rnacentral:rRNA from 1 species
UAGUCUACGCCGUAAACGAUGGAUACUAGUUGUUUGGUUUUCGGACUGAGUGACUAAGCGAAAGUGAUAAGUAUCCCACCUGGGGAGUACGUUCGCAAGAAUGAAACUCAAAGGAAUUGACGGGGGCCCGCACAAGCGGUGGAGCAUGUGGUUUAAUUCGAUGAUACGCGAGGAACCUUACCAGGGCUUAAAUGUAGUAUGACAGACUGAGAGAUCGGUUUUUCUUCGGACAUAUUACAAGGUGCUGCAUGGUUGUCGUCAGCUCGUGCCGUGAGGUGUCAGGUUAAGUCCUAUAACGAGCGCAACCCCUGUUGUUAGUUGCCAGCGAGUAAUGUCGGGAACUCUAACAAGACUGCCGGUGCAAACCGCGAGGAAGGUGGGGAUGACGUCAAAUCAUCACGGCCCUUACGUCCUGGGCCACACACGUGCUACAAUGGUAGGUACAGAGAGCAGCCACGUCGCGAGGCGGAGCUAAUCCCAAAAACCGGCCUCAGUUCGGAUUGCAGUCUGCAACUCG